rnacentral:misc_RNA from 1 species
UACGAAGGGUGCAAGCGUUGUUCGGAAUUACUGGGCGUAAAGCGCGCGUAGGCGGGUUCGUAUGUCGAUUGUGAAAUCCCUGGGCUCAACCCGGGAACUGCAGUCGAAACUACGAAUCUUGAAUGUCUGAGAGGAUGGCGGAAUAACCGGUGUAGUAGUGAAAUACGUAGAUAUCGGUUAGAACACCUGAGGCGAAGGCGGCUAUCUGGCGGUACAUUGACGCUGAGGCGCGAAAGCGUGGGGAGCAAACAGG